AACGAACGCUGGCGGCAUGCCUAACACAUGCAAGUCGAACGAGACCUUCGGGUCUAGUUGCGCACGGGUGCGUAACGCGUGGGAACCUGCCCUUAGGUUCGGAAUAACUCCCCGAAAGGGGUGCUAAUACCGGAUAAUGUCUUCGGACCAAAGAUUUAUCGCCUUUGGAUGGGCCCGCGUUGGAUUAGCUAGUUGGUAGGGUAAAAGCCUACCAAGGAGACGAUCCAUAGCUGGUCUGAGAGGAUGCUCAGCCACACUGGGACUGAGACACGGCCCAGACUCCUACGGGAGGCAGCAGUGGGGAAUAUUGGAGGAUGGGCGAAAGCCUGAUCCAGCAAUGCCGCGUGAGUGAUGAAGGCCUUAGGGUUGUAAAGCUCUUUUACCCGGGAUGAUAAUGACAGUACCGGGAGAAUAAGCUCCGGCUAACUACGUG
rnacentral:rRNA from 1 species